rnacentral:tRNA from 1 species
UGAGAUGCAAGAAAGAAAGACUAAGUUGUCUGAAAAAGCUUGUCUGAAAACUUGUGACUCGGGACUGCACUGAACGGGGGUUUAGCUCAGUUGGUAGAGCGCCUGCUUUGCGAGCAGGAUGUCAGCAGUUCGAGUCUGCUAACCUCCACUGGGCAAAUUGCCUAACGCCAAGAGAUACGACAGCACAAUUAAGCUGGGUGAUACAACCACCCGAUUUGAUUUGCUAAAGUGGAACUCUGUCGAUAAACCUUAGGACGCGAUUUCAGCACCUGGUCUUGGAAGAUCCAAGAGAGUCUGCUGGGAUCACUCCA